rnacentral:misc_RNA from 1 species
AACCAUAGAAACCUGCGGAGUACCUGCGGAAGGAUCAUUACAUUCAGUAGCCUAGCUACUUGUUUACACCCUUGUUUUUUUGCGCACUUCAUUGUAUCCCUCGGCGGGCUUGCUCGCCGGUUGGACAACAUUUAUAACCUUUUUUAAUCUUCAAUCAGCGUCUGAAUUAUAUUUAAUAAUUACAACUUUCAGCAACGGAUCU